UACGUAGGGGGCAAGCGUUACCCGGAUUUACUGGGCGUAAAGGGGGCGUAGGCGGCCUGGUGUGUCGGACGUGAAAUCCCACGGCUCAACCGUGGGGCUGCAUCCGAAACUACCAGGCUUGGGGGCGGUAGAGGGAGACGGAACUGCCGGUGUAGGGGUGAAAUCCGUAGAUAUCGGCAGGAACGCCGGUGGGGAAGCCGGUCUCCUGGGCCGACCCCGACGCUGAGGCCCGAAAGCCAGGGGAGCAAACCGG
rnacentral:rRNA from 1 species